rnacentral:rRNA from 1 species
GACGAACGCUGGCGGCGUGCUUAACACAUGCAAGUCGAACGGAAAGGCCCUGCUCUUGCGUGUUGCUUGAUUGGCGAACGGGUGAGUAUCACGUGAGUAACCUGCCCUUGACUUUGGGGUAACUUCAGGAAACUGGGGCUCAUACCGGAUAGGAUCUCUUGCUGCAUGGUGGGGAUUGGAAAGUUUCGGCGGUAGGGGAUGGUUUCGCUGGUUAUCAGCUUGUUUGUGGGGUAGUGGCUUACAAAGGCUUUGAAGGGUAGCCGGCCUGAGAGGGUGACCGGCGACAAUAGGACUGAGAUACGGAGCAGACUGCUACGGGAGGCAGCAGUGGGGAAUAUGGCACAACGGGCGGAAGCGUGAGACAGCAACGCCGCGUGCGGGAUGACGGCCUUCGAGGUGUAAACAGCUUUCGACUGUGACGAAGCGUGAGUGACGGUAAUGGGUAAAGAAGCACCGGCUAACUACGUG